GUCUAGCUGACGAGUCCUAAACAGGACGAAACGAGCUUGCUGCAU
rfam:Schistosoma mattheei strain Denwood, Zambia genome assembly, scaffold: SMTD_scaffold0021307